CCGUCGCCAGCUUACCCUAUGAAGGUCACACAGUAAGCAGAAUUGGCACAGCCCAGAACGUCAGGUCGACGUGUAGCGUAUGGAAGGGGAAGAAAUGGGCUACAUUCCCUACUACAGUGAAUACGAAAGGUGCACUGAAACGUGCGCCAUGAAGGAGGAUUUAGCAGUAAGCAGGAAAUAGAGUGUCCUGCUGAAACCGGCCCUGAAGCGCGCACACACCGCCCGUCAUUCUCCCCAAGCUUGAAAUAUUACUUUAACUAAAACCACAAGUACUGCUAAGGGGAGGCAAGUCGUAACAUGGUAAGUGUACCGGAAGGUGCACUUGGAACAAAU
rnacentral:rRNA from 1 species